UAUUAUUAAUUGCCCUUUUGUUCCUGUCAAACAUUGUGUUAAUUGUUAACAUCUACUCAUAUUUGAUAUCUAGACUCAACUUCAGGGAUUGGAGCAGAAAACUACAAAAAAGGAGGGACUUGCUCCAUAAGUGGGAGACUUCAAAAAAGAAAAAAAGCUCCAUGGACCUGGCCCACAAAGAGAGGAAGAAAUGGAUUUCCUUUUGCUCUUGGCCGAGAGUCCUACUAGCAAGAGGAAACAAGAGAAAAUUGGGGGAGCCUCACUUUUAGACUUUUGCUCUCAAAUUCGGCAGGGCCCAUCUUUUGUACUUAGCUUUCUCAAUUCGGUGGGGGACCACGGACGAGUGGAGCAUUAGUCACUUUUGGCUUUUAAGGACAAGCGUACAGAGGCUUGGGAGCUUAGUUCUUUUUAGCAUAGUUUUUAGUUUUCUUUCUGUCCUUGUCAGGCGCAUGCCUACUGUUCGACAAUAUUCCUCAACGGGAAAAACAUCUUUUAUUUCUCGCUUUCUAGUGAAAACUUGAUGCAUUUGCAAUCAAUUAAUUUGCGUAGAGAUUUAAUUAUGCGGUGAGGCUAAGCCUUUCAUCUAGUCAAGGAUCAACUCAACGGCGCAGUCCCGAAUAUCUGUGAGAUCUAAUUAGUUUUCACGCGUUCCUUAAUUUGUUAAUAUUUGCACGUUGUCUAUUUGAAUUUUCAUGGGAUUAUUUUGUUAAUUGGAUGUCAAGGGCCCGAUGUUCAAUGUGACUCAUUAAUCUCCUGCCAAAUUAUUUAAUUAAAUCCGUAAUUGUUUGAUUGAUUAAUAUUAGUGGCAACUGGCGUGUUUGCACACUAAGGGAAUGUGCAAUCUAAUUUAAAUAACCCUCGUAGCGUGUUAUUGAUUAGAGUUAGGUUUUUCUAGUUCUUAAUGUAAUUGAGAAAUUAAUUCCUAUGGUCGUACUUAGGAGUAUUUUCUGGUUAGAAGUAAUCAAUGGUCGUACCUUGGUUAUCAAUAAAUUAAGGAAAAAUUGGUCGUUAGAGUUCGUCGGCAACUAUAACUGGCCUAUUAAUAAGUUAAGCGAACCUUCCUUGCAUCAAUGAUCGGGUGAGUGGACUGUACCUGAGUAGUUGUAUUCUUGACUAAAAUUUAUCUUUUCUUGAUUUAAUUCCUGUUAUAUUCGUGCUAGUUAAUUAUUUAUUUAUUUUUAGUUGAAUUGCUUAAUUGUUUUUAGUUCCACUCCGAUAAAAUCCCCCUUUACCAAUUAGAAUUUCAAAGAAACAAACAUCCUCAGUCCCUGAGGAGACGACCCUGCUUGCCACUGUCUACUAUUUAGUAAUUGUCGUCAACUAAUUAAUUCUAGUAUAUCGGAUUAAGCAAACUCUUCGGGAACAUGGUGAAUCAAGUAACCCAUUGCACACCUAGAGUCCCUGCUCCAGUACCUAACAUCAAUUAUUGACUGCCUUUAGUGGUAGUUAGGUUCUAUUUUUAUUAUUGCACAGGCUCGACACCUGUCAAAAGGACAAAAAGUUUUAGUAAUUUUAGGGCAAAUUACAUAUAACCCUCUAUAAUUUUCUAUAAUAACAGAUGAUCUUCCUAAGGUAAACUCCUUGCGGUUUUAUGUAAAGUAGAAAAUGGAUGAAAUGCACAAUUAAUUACAGUAAUUAUAUCAGAUGCUCUCUAGGUGUGCGUAUGAUGAAACCAUAAUAUCCAUUCAAUCCCAUUAAAAAAAGAUAAAAUGCCUUCUACUAAAUACGGUCAUAUCUUUAGUUGUUUAAUAAAGUAAGAAGAUUUCAUAAAUGUUUAGUAUGUCAUUUAAUAUUCAAGUUAUUAGAAGAGGCCAGAGCUAGUAAACUUUUAUUUCUUCCCUUUUAUAUGACAAGACUUAGUUAUACACUAGAAUUUUGCCCAUGCCUUAGCACACUUUUUUUAUUUAUUGUGAAUUUAUACAAAUCUGAAUAAUUUAAAUACAAAAAUUAACAACAAUCCUAUAUGUUCAUUCAUAUUAACUUUAAAAUUAAUGUAUUCUAAAUGUUCAAUUAUUUACUAAAUUUUAAAAAUUUAUUUAUAUACUUUCUCUAUAAUAUGAUAGUAUAAAUCAAAUAAUGUACAUCAUAUCAAAACCUUGGUAGAUAUUCUUUUUUUUUCUUAUAAACAUUCUCUUAGAUAAUUUAAAUUUUUAUAAUGGCCAUAAGUCUAGAACCAUAAAUUCAUAUUUAAUUAAGUACAAAAGAUUCAGUAAUCUAUUUUUCUUCAUCAAUAAAUAUUCAAUUUCGAACAAUAUUGAAAAAUCUAUCAGUAUAGUAGUUAAUUUUUUUUUACACUAAAUUAAUUCAAAAUUAAGGAACAGAUGAUAAAAAAUUUGAAUACUAAUCAAGUGAUGAAAUGAAGUAAUUUAUAAGAUAUGUAAGAUUUCAACAAUUGUGAUUUGAAAAUUUUUUUACUAUAAUUCUAUGUAAUCCAAAUACGAUUCAAUAUGUGUAAAACCCAUGCGAUCCAUAACCUAUUAAUUCUCUUCAAAUAGAAAAUGCCAUGUAGGAGUGAAAAAUAACUCUGAUUAAAAUAGAUUGACAAAUAGAUCAUUCAAUUAUAAUCUCAUAAUUUAUAUGUUGUUAUCGUACUAUAUAUCAAGCUAAUGUAUGUAUUUUAUUGUGUAAAAGCUUAUGUUCAUCUUCUUCUUUUUUUUGUUAAAGGAGAGAUCUUGAACCCAUGAUGUUUUACUUACAAUCCUUCCCCUCUUACCACUGAACCCAACCCUCCCCCAAACUUAUGUCCAUCUUUUGUUAUUGUCAUCAAUAAAUUGGCUUCCAAAAUCAGGAGAAUAAUAUGAAAAUUGGUAUUCAUUAAUUUGGAUGGAGAAAAUUCCUAAUACCUUUAUAGUUUGUUUUUUCAUAAAUAAAAAAGAUUUGUUAAUGAGAUUGCUGGAAAUAGUUAAAACCAAUUUAUUUAACAAAGUCAAGAGGAAUGUUUUGUAAAGAGUCUCCACAAUUGGCAGGUUUUACAUAAACCUAAUACCUUCGUGGUUGAUUUGGCGAAAUCGAAAUAUUAGAGAGGCAAUUGCAAGAUUGCAGCGACAUGGACUAGAAUUCAAGAUUGCAAGAGAAAAAUAAAAAUAAUCACAUAGUUUCCUUUUCUCUCUUACAGUGAACAUGGCCAUGGACUAGAAUUCAAGAACCGCUUAAACCCAGCACUAGUUUAAAAAGCCCAGCAAUGGCCAAGCAACAACCUGGACUGCUUAAAACAACCCGGACUGCUGAAAACAUUUGUAGUCCAGUUUCGAGGUCAGAAGGCAUCUAUGUAUACAUUAAUUUGAACUUUUGUUGGUCUUGACAUAUCAGAAAAUCAAGAAAACAAAAUAUAAACAAAAGAAUAGAAACCGAAAAAAAAAUCCUUGCAAUCUAGCAAGUUAAUGGAGCAAGUAACCACUGGGGGUGUACUUAGUGAUCAGAUGAGAAUUUUUAAAAUCUUUUCCACUAUCAAGUUCAAUGUUCAAAUCCUGUGCCUGGUAAUAAGGGCAAUAGUUGGGGGCGGAAUAGCAUGGGGAGGGUGGAAAAGUUUGAGAAAAAAAAAAGGUUAAUGGAGCACAUUUUAAAGGUGAAACUUGUUUAAAAGAAAAAAAGUGUAAAAUUUUGCAAAUGUCAACAAGAUCUUCAAUUCUAGUUACUACUCAUGCUCUCCCAUCUUCUCAAUCUGGUACCAGGACACAUGUUAUGGCAUUUAGUAAUUGAUCUAACUUUUACAAUGUGACAAACCUUUUCAUCUAAUCAACAAAAGAUAUUUGAUGUGUCGUGUUUCAUAUAUUUUUAUGUUCCUCUAUCACUAUGAUUUUAUGCAUGUAUUAUUUUUAAAAAGUGCUAUUUAGAUAUGUUUUUAUGGUUGGACAGGGUAGAAAGCACUUGCGGUAAAAAUGAUGCAAAAAGAGAUCAAUUAGCAGGAAAAUAUUGAGUCCAAAAAGUCAGCAGCUAAUGAGUGAUAGGAUGGGGGCCAAACACAACACCCAUUUGACUUUAAAGCGGAUUUCAAUUAAAUUGACAAGUUAAGUUAUGAUGGGCGCCUGUCUCACAAUCCAACUCAAGAACCGACAUGUACUAAACAAAUGACUUCUAAUUUAAGUUGACUACUUGAUUCUACCCUAAAAACCCUACUGGAGGGACCUUAUAAGUACACGAGUAAGAGCCGUUAGAAAGGGCUGUCAAAAGGAGAAGCAACAAAUUUUUCUCUAUAAUUUUUCGUUUGCUAGAAUUAGCGUAGUAUAUUUUAUGAAUUAGUUUUCUUUAUUCACUUAUGAGCAUCUCUCUUACUCUUGCAAUGAUGAUGUCUUGCUAGUUCUUUUAUUCAAGCCAAGGAAAGAAGUGAUGGCUCCUAGUAUUGUGAAAUCGAUUUGAUCUUUCCAACUUUUAAUUAACUAUCUGCAAUUCCUUGAUCUUGAUUUGUGUUUAUGCAUGUAUAGUGGAGUAAGUCGCGAAUUAUUCUCUAUAUGUGUCAUAUUCAUGCCAAAGUACUAAUUGUGAUAUGUAAUUGUUAUGUUUUAGUAUUUCAUGUAGAAAAUAAGACUAGUAAUUGAUUGUCCUCUUUUAUGAACCCUUAGAGGGAAUUGUGGUGUUGAUUAGAUGAUUGCGUGUGUCACGGGUUGUCAUCAAUUUCAGCUGAUUCUUAGUGCCUAAAGCUACUAUCGGAUUAAUUUGGAAUUGCGUUAAUACCUAAAUAGUUUGAUAAUAAGAAUACAACUACAGUGUAUCAUUCUAAUUGUUGACUGUAGAGAAUCUACGAGUUAUUACUAAUUCAGGGUAACUUAGGCCGAAUGGUUGAUUAAAGGUGACAAAUGUCAAGACUGUGCAAUAAUAAAAACCUAACUACCACAAAAAACGUGUAAUAAUAAAAAUCUAACUACCACAAAAAACAAUCAACAAUCAAUUCCAGGUACUGGAGCAGGGACUCUGGAUGUGCAAUGAGUUACUUGAUUCACCCUGGUUCCGAAGAGUUUGCUUAAUUCGAUAUAUCAGAAUUAAUUAACUGACAAAAUUUACUAACUAGUAGACAGUGGCAAGCAGGGUCGAAUCCACAGGCACUAGGGAUAAUUCGUUUCUUCUAGAGUUCAGAGCAUGAGGGGGUUUUUGGAAAAUAUAAAAUAACUAAUUAACCAACUAAUGAAACAACUACUAGAAAUAAACAGAAAUUAAUCAAUAACCAAUACGACUCUAGCCAAAGGUGCAACUUUUCAGACACAGUCCAUUCAACUGAUCAUUGAUGCAAAGAUAAUUCAAUUACUCAUUACUAGAUUGGUUAUAGUUGUCAUACACGCGAUAAACAACCAACAUUUCCUUACUUUUUCGAUAGUCAAGGUACGACCGUUAACUAUUUCUCUAACCAAGAAAUAACCCUAGGUACGACCAUAAAAUUUAAUUCCUCGAUUGCAUUAAGAAUUAGAAAAGUCCAACCCUAACCAACAAACACGCUACAAGAGUUUGUUUAAUUUAGAUCAUACGUUUCCCUAACAUGAAACCAAUCACGCUAGUCGUCACUGGUGUUAAUGAAUUGAACAAUUACGGAUUCAAUCACUUAAUCUGAUAGUAGAUUAUUAGGUUAAUCCGAAUAUCGGGCCCUUGACAUUCAAAUAACAUAAUAAUCAUAAAAAAUUAAAUCAGAAAACGUACAAAUACCAAUAAAUAAAAGAAAUAAGUAAAAUAAUUCGAUCUCACAGAUAUUUGGAACCGCGUCUUUAAAUUAACCCUUGACUAGAAAAGAAACUUAGUUGCGCAUGGCCAAUUGAAGCAAUUCACACCAUUUUUCCAAAGCCAGCGGCAUAAGUCUUUGACAAGAGAAAUACUAGAGAAAACAAAAGACUCCAAGGAAGAGCCCUGCGGCUCCCCUCUUCGUAUCCUUCAUGCGGGAUCCGGCUAUUUUGAUUUCCUAGGCGAGUUAGCCAUGAAUUGGACGAGUCUGUGAUCUUAGGAGCUAACCGGGAGAGAAAUGUCUCGACACUUAGCCACUAAAUCUUGAUUUUGGUAUAAGCACAGCUUGGCAAUAGAUGACGUGAGAGCUGACCAUGGUUGAGUUUAGUUGUCCCCAUGCUUGAGGGCAAGUAUGAUUCAGGUAUGGGGGGAAUUGAUAGGGUAUUAAUUGUUAGCAAUUUUAUUAUUAAUUGCCCUUUUGUUCCUGUCAAACAUUGUGUUAAUUGUUAACAUCUACUCAUAUUUGAUAUCUAGACUCAACUUCAGGGAUUGGAGCAGAAAACUACAAAAAAGGAGGGACUUGCUCCAUAAGUGGGAGACUUCAAAAAAGAAAAAAAGCUCCAUGGACCUGGCCCACAAAGAGAGGAAGAAAUGGAUUUCCUUUUGCUCUUGGCCGAGAGUCCUACUAGCAAGAGGAAACAAGAGAAAAUUGGGGGAGCCUCACUUUUAGACUUUUGCUCUCAAAUUCGGCAGGGCCCAUCUUUUGUACUUAGCUUUCUCAAUUCGGUGGGGGACCACGGACGAGUGGAGCAUUAGUCACUUUUGGCUUUUAAGGACAAGCGUACAGAGGCUUGGGAGCUUAGUUCUUUUUAGCAU
rnacentral:lncRNA from 1 species